rnacentral:misc_RNA from 1 species
GGCGUCCACACUUAUCGGUUUGUUUGAUGUUACAGCCAAGGGUCUGUAGCUCAGGUGGUUAGAGCACCGUCUUGAUAAGGCGGGGGUCGUAGGUUCAAGUCCUACCAGACCCACCAAGUUAUGGACGGUGGAAGUCUCUGCCGUGACUGGGGGAUUAGCUCAGCUGGGAGAGCACCUGCUUUGCAAGCAGGGGGUCGUCGGUUCGAUCCCGUCAUCCUCCACCAAUACCUUGUGGUUGCCAAACGCAAGCAUCGAGUUUUCGGUGUUUGCGUUUGGCAUUGCCAAGACGAGUAAUAACUCGGCUGUUCUUUAACAAUAUGGAAUGUAGUAAAGGUGUCGCGGAGCAUUGAUGAGAUGCUCGCAAAAACGCGACAUUGGGUUGUGAUUGUAUCAACCAGUAUUACGAGUGAUCGAAAGACCGCUUGGAAUACGGCACAACGCGAGAACUCAGCCUAUAUCGAGACAUACUCGUUAUAGGGUCAAGCGAAUAAGUGCAUGUGGUGGAUGCCUUGGCGAUCACAGGCGAUGAAGGACGCAGUAGCUUGCGAAAAGCUGCGGGGAGCUGGCAAACGAGC